rnacentral:rRNA from 1 species
AUGCACGCUGGCGGCGUGCCUAAUCCCUGCACGUCGAGCGAACAGACGAGGAGCUUGCUCCUCUGACGUUAGCGGCGGACGGGUGAGUAACACGUGGAUAACCUACCUAUAAGACUGGGAUAACUUCGGGAAACCGGAGCUAAUACCGGAUAAUAUAUUGAACCGCAUGGUUCAAUAGUGAAAGACGGUUUUGCUGUCACUUAUAGAUGGAUCCGCGCCGCAUUAGCUAGUUGGUAAGGUAACGGCUUACCAAGGCAACGAUGCGUAGCCGACCUGAGAGGGGGAUCGGCCACACUGGAACUGAGACACGGUCCAGACUCCUACGGGAGGCAGCAGUAGGGAAUCUUCCGAAAUGGGCGAAGCCUGACGGAGCAACGCCGCGUGAGUGAUGAAGGUCUUCGGAUCGUAAAACUCUGUUAUUAGGGAAGAACAAAUGUGUAAGUAACUAUGCACGUCUUGACGGUACCUAAUCAGAAAGCCACGGCUAACUACGUG